CACGUAGGUGGCUAGCGUUAUUCGGAUUCACUGGGCGUAAAGGGUCCGCAGGGGGCCUGCCAAGUCUGUCGUGAAAUCCCGGGGCUCAACCCCGGGCCUGCGGUGGAGACUGGUGGGCUUGAGUGUGUGAAGGGCAGACGGAACACCUGGUGUAGCGGUGGAAUGCGUGGAUAUCAGGUGGAACACCGAUGGCGAAGGCGGUCUGCUUGCACACAACUGACCCUCAUGGACGAAAGCGUGGGUAGCAAACAGGAUUAGAUACC
rnacentral:rRNA from 1 species